rnacentral:lncRNA from 1 species
AACUUAAGGGGGCUCGCGGGUCUAAAUCAAAUUUGUUAUUUAAUAUAGGAUUUCGCUAUAUUUUUCUAUAAAUGAACUUUAUCUUAUACUUAAUAGAAAAAUGAAAUAAAAAAAUGGGGUCACCGUUCAUUUACGCUCACAAUCUGCCUUCGAAAGAAGCAUACAUUUUUGUUAAUGUCCUUUUUUUCUGUUGAACUAAUAAGAGAAAAAGC